rnacentral:rRNA from 1 species
GUAGGGGGCAAGCGUUGUCCGGAUUUAUUGGGCGUAAAGAGCGUGUAGGCGGCUUGGUAGGUCCGCUGUGAAAACUCGAGGCUCAACCUCGAGAUGUCGGCGGAGACCACUUGGCUAGAGUCCGGAAGAGGAGAGUGGAAUUCCCGGUGUAGCGGUGAAAUGCGCAGAUAUCGGGAAGAACACCUAUGGCGAAGGCAGCUCUCUGGGACGGUACUGACGCUGAGACGCGAAAGCGUGGGGAGCGAACAGGAUUAGAUACCCUGGUAGUCCACGCCGUAAACGAUGGGUGCUAGGUGUGGGCGGUGUCGACUCCGUCCGUGCCGAAGCUAACGCAUUAAGCACCCCGCCUGGGGAGUACGGCCGCAAGGCUA